GACGAACGCUGGCGGCGUGCUUAACACAUGCAAGUCGAACGGAAAGGCCCUGCUUUUGUGGGGUGCUCGAGUGGCGAACGGGUGAGUAACACGUGAGUAACCUGCCCUUGACUUUGGGAUAACUUCAGGAAACUGGGGCUAAUACCGGAUAGGAGCUCCUGCUGCAUGGUGGGGGUUGGAAAGUUUCGGCGGUUGGGGAUGGACUCGCGGCUUAUCAGCUUGUUGGUGGGGUAGUGGCUUACCAAGGCUUUGACGGGUAGCCGGCCUGAGAGGGUGACCGGCCACAUUGGGACUGAGAUACGGCCCAGACUCCUACGGGAGGCAGCAGUGGGGGAUAUUGCACGAUGGGCGGAAGCCUGAUGCAGCAACGCCGCGUGCGGGAUGACGGCCUUCGGGUUGUAAACCGCUUUCGCCUGUGACGAAGCGUGAGUGACGGUAAUGGGUAAAGAAGCACCGGCUAACUACGUG
rnacentral:rRNA from 1 species